CCUACGGGAGGCAGCAGUGAGGAAUAUUGGUCAAUGGACGAGAGUCUGAACCAGCCAAGUAGCGUGAAGGAUGACUGCCCUAUGGGUUGUAAACUUCUUUUAUAAGGGAAUAAAACGAGGCACGUGUGCCUUUUUGCAUGUACUUUAUGAAUAAGAAUCGGCUAACUCCGUGCCAGCAGCCGCGGUAAUACGGAGGAUCCGAGCGUUAUCCGGAUUUGUUGGGUUUAAAGGGAGCGUAGAUGGGUUGUUAAGUCAGUUGUGAAAGUUUGCGGCUCAACCGUAAAAUUGCAAUUGAUACUGGCAGUCUUGAGUACAGUUGAGGUAGGCGGAAUUCGUGGUGUAGCGGUGAAAUGCUUAGAUAUCACGAAGAACCCCGAUUGCGAAGGCAGCUUACUAAACUGUGACUGACAUUGAUGCUCGAAAGUGUGGGUAUCAAACAGGAUUAGAUACCCCAGUAGUC
rnacentral:rRNA from 1 species